rnacentral:rRNA from 1 species
UACGAAGGGGGCGAGCGUUGUUCGGAUUUACUGGGCGUAAAGCGCGUGUAGGCGGGCGACUAAGUCGGAUGUGAAAUCCCUGGGCUCAACCUAGGAACUGCAUUCGAAACUGGUCACCUAGAGUGAUGGAGAGGAAAGCGGAAUUCCCGGUGUAGAGGUGAAAUUCGUAGAUAUCGGGAGGAACACCAGUGGCGAAGGCGGCUUUCUGGACAUUUACUGACGCUGAGACGCGAAAGCGUGGGGAGCAAACAGG